rnacentral:tRNA from 1 species
GGGCCAGUAGCUCAGUCCGGUAGAGCACCGCCCUUGCAAGGCGGGGGCCUUGGGUUCGAAUCCCAACUGGUCCA